CCUACGGGGGGCAACAGUGGGGAAUAUUGGGCAAUGGGCGCAAGCCUGACCCAGCAACGCCGCGUGAAGGAAGAAGGCCCUCGGGUUGUAAACUUCUUUUAUCAAGGACGAAACAAAUGAUGGUACUAGAUGAAUAAGCCACGGCUAACUACGAGCCAGCAGCCGCGGUAAUACGUAGGUAGCAAGCGUUAUCCGGAUGUACUGGGUGUACAGGGCGUGUAGGCGGGACUGCAAGUCCGAGGGGAAAACCAUGGGCUCAACCCAUGGCCCGCCUUUGAAACUGUAGUUCUUGAGUGUUGGAGAGGCAGGCGGAAUUCCGUGUGUAGCGGUGAAAUGCGUAGAUAUCCGGAGGAACACCAGUGGCGAAGGCGGCCUGCUGGACAAUAACUGACGCUGAGGCGCGAAAGCGUGGGUAGCAAACAGGAUUAGAUACCCUUGUAGUC
rnacentral:rRNA from 1 species